AUCUGAAAAUGAUUUUAGAAAAUUCUUAUUUUUAUUUUUAUUUUUCAAGGUUCCUUCCCUCUCUCUUUUCCAUGAGGAUCAUCUUCUCUAUGAAACCUUUCUCUCUUCUCACAUUCUUUCUCCGUUUCUUCCAGCCAAAACAACCAACUCCCAAUAUAUAUAUAUAUAUCCAAUUCAUCUUCUUCCACAAAACCCUUUCUUCUCCUAAUCUUUUCACUCUCCAACAAAAAUGCGUGAAGUUGAAGAAAAGGAGAUAAUAAGAGAUCGACACAGAUAGAAAGAGAAAGGGAUUAAGAGGUUCAUAUGUGUGAGUGAAAAAAGAAAGAUGGUCGCAGAAGUCUGAUGGUGAACACUUGGACGGUGUUUGGUGGCCAAAGGGAGGAAGAGAGAAUAGAAGGAAAAUUUCAACAUCCCACUGUAUAUCUAUGCUUUUAACAGUGUAUGAACUCAAAUUGAAUAAUCAUCAAACUACUCUGCCAAAAUGAUACCUUCAUGAAUGUUUUAAUUAUAUUUUUACACAAAAUGUUUAUAAAUAUAUCAACUAGUUUUUUCUAUUGUCAAUUGAGAGUGAGAUAGAAUUUUCUGCUAUUUUAAUAUAGUAUUGUAGUCCAUAAAAUCUAAAUGACCAUUUGUUAAACAGGGAAUGUGCUGGGAAUGUGCGAGGCUCUCCAUCCAUGAAGAAAUAUGUCGAGAAUAUAUAUCACGUUACAUAUAUAGUCAAUUAAUUUUUAGAUGGAAUAGAAUUGUUAUUUUUCGACAACGAUAGUGAAAUCAAGAGAAAGAAAUUAGUGAUACAUCACUGUUGAAAUGCAUGUCCCUAUAGAUGAUUUGAUCACACGUUUGAAAAAUUAGUACAUCGAUGUUCAUUCCUCUAAUCGAGAGAUUCAACAAG
rnacentral:lncRNA from 1 species